rnacentral:lncRNA from 1 species
GGGCAAGCCCCACCCCCCAAGGCUAUAGCCCACCCGUUUUUGUGUCCUUUUUCUGCUAGACGAACUUGGCGCCCCGGCCUUCGGGCGGUUAUUUUUGGGCGCGGCUUUGCCCUUGGCCUAGUCUUGGCACAUGGAGGCCCCUCGCAAAGUCUCACGGCAUUCCGAGUCCGGCGGACGAAGUGGGCCAGCCCUACCCCCCAAGGCUAUAGCCCACCCGUUUUUGUGGCCUUUUUCCUCUGGACGAACUUGGCGCCCCGGCCUUCGGGCUUGUUGUUUUUGGGCGAGGCUUUGCCCGCGGCCUAUUUUUGGCACACGGAGGCCCCUCGUAAAGUCUCGCGCCAUUCCGAGUUCGGCGGACGAAGUUGGCCAGCCCCACCCCCCAAGGCUAUAGCCCACCCAUUUUUGUGGCCUUUUUCCGCUGAACGAACUUGGCGCCCCGGACUUCGAGCGGUUUUUUUUGGGCGCGGCUUUGUCCGUGGCCUAUUUUUGGCACACGGAGGCCCCUCGCAAAGUAUCACGGCAGUCCGUGUCCGGCGGACGAAGUAGGCCAGCCCCACCCCCCAAGGCUAUAGCCCAACCGUUUUUGUGGCCUUUAUCCGCUGGACGAACUUGGCGCCCCGGCCUUCGGGCGGUUAUUUUUGGGCGCGGCUUUGCCCGCGGCCUAUUUUUGGCACACGGAGGCCCCUCGCAAUGUCUCGCGGCAUUCCGAGUCCGGCGGACGAAAUUGGCCAGCCCCACCCCCCAAGGCUAUAGCCCACCCGUUUUUGUGGCCUUUUUCCGCUGGACGAACUUGGCGCCCCGGCCUUCGGGCAGUUAUUUUUGGGCGCGGCUUUGGUCGCGGCCUAGUUUUGG